CCCCCGCCCAUCGUUUUCGGUUCCCUCUCCCACUCCUCGAUCCUUCUGAAUACUCGGCGAUCUCCUUCGAUGGCGAGAUGGUAGGAGCUCCAACGAUACGGCGAUUCUCUCGCUGGCUACCGGAUCCUCGUCGCCGGCUCCGUCGUUUCCUGUAACGCGCCGGGGAGCGGCAACACCUUGCAGCGCCAGUAAAGAAGCAAUCACAACAUCAAGUAGCGAUCUUACCUGACUAAAUGAGAAUAAGUUGGCUUGGGCUAUUUGCCCACCAAGGGAUCACAACAAAAGGAGGUAUUCUUGCUAUCGAGGUCAGGACUGUCAUGUGGCUGCCAAUUUCUCUGCUGCUACUGAUUUCAAGCUUAUGCAUCUCGUGACCUGCGGAGCCAUGCUUGGUUCUGUACCGCAACUUUUUUCUAACGCCUGUAACUGGUCGAAGGAGAGAAAUCAUUCGAUCAUCCAGCAGAGAUUAUUGGCCACCGAGGGUGUCCUCUCCUCUCUGUUUGCCGUAGUUAAACAAGCUUCGAGCGUAACGCUCUUUCCAUGUGACCGGUGAGUGCCUAAGUAGCUCUUUGGUCUUUUUCUUUGAUGGAAUUCUCGAGGGUACUCCUAAUUAAUUGACUGGCAAAUACGUAGCCCUCUUUUUUCUUCCUCGGGUUAGGGUCUCCCUGGUUGGCCGCGACAUGAUCCGCACGUAAAUGGCGAGUCUUGUCACGCCCACAUGACUCAUUUAUGAGCCUGCUGGUGAGAGGUGAUCUCGGAUGUGAUGCCACUGAUGGCGACUUCCAUACGAUAUCCCCAUUAAUCACAAGGUUUCGCAAUCAAAGAUCAUGGUAUUCAGUCACAGAUUGUCUAGAAAUAUACAUAACUCAAAUCUAGCAUUUUUUUUCAUUGUAUUUCCCUCGUUGUAUUAACUAUAAAAGGAAGCCAAAAAAAAAAAGUGUGAGAGAGAGAGAAGGCCGUUCUCAUAUAAAACAAAUGUUGCAAUAUAUUUUCUAUAGACAAAUUCUUUUGGAGAAGGAACUAGGCCUUGGAACAUAGGUUAAGAGGUAUCACAUGCUCAUCUUAAAUCUCACACUAGUCCUGGCUUACUAAGGUAUCACGUGCCAAGUCCAAGUAGUAUGCUUCAAUUUCUAACGACGGAAGGAUGUCGAUGUAUGUUUCUAUUGACUUAUUUGUACAAACAUCACUAUCUCGACACGGUUGCUUCAGGCUUCCUAAUCAAUAUCAUUACGUCUUCGUCAAGGCACUAACAAAGCUAUGCUUGCGUGAUAUUCGGCCUCAGAAGAUGUUAAUUUCUUACUAUCGAGUACUCUAUCGUUGAAACAUCCGAGAUUUCUUUAAUGCACUUAAUUGUGUUUGCUCAUUCCCAAGGGUGAUCAAGAUUUGGAAACGAUCAGAUUUUAGCUUUAGAUCGGGGAGAGCAUACGAUUACUGUAGUAGAUUGUAGUUUGAAAAUUUGUUAAUCAAAAAAUCGAUGAUAUUCUUGAUGUAAAAGGGUGAGAUCAACUAGUUGAGGUUUGUGUGAUAGUGACUUGAGAUAUUAUAUAGAAGUUUUUUGGGUUAGGUAUUCAUCUUCUCUAUCAGAGUAAAUUAUUUUAAUGAUAUAUUGAAAAAAAUUUUGAUCAUCUUUUUAAAAUGAGUAAAAAUCGUGAUGAUUUCAUAUUUAUAUUUCAAAGGAUAUAACCAUGUAUAUUUAGUAAUGUAAUAUGCGAAAAUGACAUAAAAUCUGAAAUUAUCAAAAUAAGUUGUUGGGUAGGGCCUUAAACAUCGAUGUAGAUAAUUUUAAAUGAUUUUGAGUCGGAUAUGAAAGAUAUUCUAAUAGAUAAUUUAUGACUUUUAUUACUAAAGCAUCCAUCAUAAUAAGUUUUAAUUUUACUUGAUUUGAAAUUUGAAAGAGAGUAAUAAAAACAUAAUUAUUGUUGAAGGAAGUAGAUAUUGUCCUUAUUCUAGCCUCGGACCAAGGAUGCUUGGAUGCUCUCGUGUUUAAAUCAUUUACAACGAGCCAAAAAAGAAUUAAAUAAAUAUGUUAUUUUGUUUGCAGAAUUGAGAAAC